GAUGAACGCUGGCGGCGUGCCUAAUACAUGCAAGUCGAGCGAACAGACGAGGAGCUUGCUCCUCUGACGUUAGCGGCGGACGGGUGAGUAACACGUGGAUAACCUACCUAUAAGACUGGGAUAACUUCGGGAAACCGGAGCUAAUACCGGAUAAUAUAUUGAACCGCAUGGUUCAAUAGUGAAAGACGGUUUUGCUGUCACUUAUAGAUGGAUCCGCGCCGCAUUAGCUAGUUGGUAAGGUAACGGCUUACCAAGGCAACGAUGCGUAGCCGACCUGAGAGGGUGAUCGGCCACACUGGAGCUGAGACACGGUCCAGACUCCUACGGGAGGCAGCAGUAGGGAAUCUUCCGCAAUGGGCGAAAGCCUGACGGAGCAACGCCGCAUGAGUGAUGAAGGUCUUCGGAUCGUAAAACUCUGUUAUGAGGGAAGAACAAAUGUGUAAGUAACUAUGCACGUCUUGACGGUACCUAAUCAGAAAGCCACGGCUAACUACGUG
rnacentral:rRNA from 1 species